AAACAAAAGGUAAAAGUUGGAAUCAUGACUUCUUUACCAUUUUAUCUACAGAAACUAUCAUAAUGUUUGGCACAACGUAUGUUCUAAGUAAAUUUGGAAAGAAUAAAAAAUUUUAAGCUCCUUUCAUGGCUCAGCAGUUAAUGAACCUGACUAGGACCCAUAAGGAUGCGGUUUCAAUCCCUGGCCUCGCUCAGUCAGUUAAGUAUCCAGCAUUGCCAUGAGCUGUGGUGUAGGUUGCAGAUGUGAAUCAGAUCCUGUGUUGAUGGGACUGUGCUGCUGAUUCAACCCCUAGCCUGGGAACUUCCAUAUGCUGCAGGUACAGCCCUAAAAAGCANAAAAAAAAAAAAAAAAAAACAUAUAUAUAUAUGUAUGUGUGUGUAUAUAUAUAAUAUGUAUGAAAGAUAGGAAACACUGCUACAGAAAAAAAUUAGAAUUCUAAAAUAUUGCAUUAUAUUGGUCCAAAUAAAAAAUAACUUUUAAAAUAACAUAUUGCAUAACCUACUUUUUAUGUAAAUGUGGAUUACUCCAUAGUUCCUUUUAAUCUCUAAUCUAAUUGGACCAAUAAUAGUUCUCUCUAAAAUUUCAUGAUGCAUAACUCUGCUGUUUUCUUUAAGAUCAUUCAUAUCUCUAAGUAGUUAAGGGAAGGGGAUUAUAAAAUGAAUCCACAAAUGGAAAAAGAUGUAAGAUUUCUGCUUUAAAUUUUUGCCAUGUUUUCUUCUUUUGAAAUAUGUAAUCUCAUGUUUUCUUCUUUUGAAAUUUGUAAUCUUACAUUACAAAUAUGUAAUCUUUGAAAUACGUAAUCUUUCUUUUCUAUAGCAAAGAAAACAGUAAUCUUUCUUUUCUAUAGCAAAGAAAACAGUAUUUUCUGUCACUAUUAGCAAACAAAAUGUUUGCAUGGGGUUUGAAUUUGUUUUGACAUUUUUUUGUGUAUAUUUGGUUAUUCUUAUUUUGAUUUUAAAUUACUAUCAUUCUCAUUUUCAAUAUAAGAUGUUCAAUAUCACAAUUUAUUUUGACAUUCUUUUUCAUAAGAUGUGACAAAACUGAG
rnacentral:lncRNA from 1 species